AUGGAAAGCAAAUACCAAGCAGGAAGAUACAAGCUGUUAAGAGAGACAUUGCUUAAUGUGCUGAGACUAAGUUCGCAAUUUUCUAAGCUCUCAGCUUGCUAACUCUUCAGUUUCCUGUUUGAUGCACAUAGCCUGGCCUUCUUCUUACGCAACUUUCAUGUUAAACAUCGUAUGUACUGAUGACAAGUUUCAAGCUUAAGAGUUUAAAAAAUUCAGUUGAGGAUGCUGUUGACUUACCACCAUUUUGAAUAAUGGGUUGAAAAUUAUUGUUGAAUUUUUACUUUCAGCCAUCAAAUAAUCCUGGAUUAAAGAAUAAUCUGGACAGCAUUGCACAUUGUGCUCAAAAUCAUAGCUUUAAGAUAUAUCAGUAUGGUGAAUACUAAAGUAUACUAGCUAGUAAGACCAUCAUUUUCUCUCUCUCUUUUGGAAUUUUUCCUGAUAGUGAGAUCGCGUAAAUUUUAGCUUUGAUCUGUAGUUUAUCUGUCCAUUAAAAACAGAAGAAAGAUAGUUUUUCUAACUCAAUUUCAGUUCAAAUUUUCAGCUGCUUUUGAUUGAUGGUUGGAUGCAAAGUGGGCCAGUAAUCCAGCAUUAGAUUGAUUUGUUGGAUUCUUGCAAAGAUGGUCACAUUAGCUAAAUUCAGGCAUCAGAUAUUGAAUGAAAUGAAGCAGCCUUUUUGUAAGAAUACAUCUUCCAAACAAAGGCAAGUUUUACAUUGGUUAUGCGAUCUAAAGGAGGAUGACCUGUUAUUAUUGAAAACAUGGAAAUGGCAAAGCACUACCACUCAUUUUGCA